rnacentral:misc_RNA from 1 species
UGUUUCCGUAGGUGAACCUGCUGCUGGAUCAUUACAUACUCCAUAUAAAUGGUCAAACUUGUUAUUGAAAAGUUUUCUUCUUAUUGAAGUGAACUCGCAAUCACCAAGUCAAGUGGUGAACGCAACGGCUAACGUUGGCGUCUAUGUUUUGCUGAGCAGUUGUAUUCGUCCGUGACUGUGAUGAGGCAAACGGUAGAGCGCAUGCAGCGGCAUGUGAUUAAGACUUAAUGAGCCCAGCUGAGAGAGGGCCGCCAACAAACCCUUUUUUCAUCUACAUUUUUAAACAAAACAAAAAAAUUCUAGUCUUAUCGGUGGAUCACUCGGCUCGUGGAUCGAUGAAGAACGCAGCCAACUGCGAUAAAUAGUGCGAACUGCAGAACCUUUGAGCACUAAAACUUCGAAUGCAAAUUGCACCAUUGGAUUCACUUCCUUUGGUACGCCUGGUUCAGGGUCGUUAACCAAAAACGCAUCAUAUUUGCGUAUUAAAAGGAAAUUAUAUUUUUCAUAUAACUCCUUGUGAAAUUGAACACUUGGUCCACAAAUGCGGAUAUUUUAAAGUCUUGACAAUUUAUUUUGAAUAUCAUGAAGGCAUAGAGUUUGCCUGCGCUUUUGAUGGAACAAGUGUCAAGCCAAAGACAAUUAUGGCACUAUUUAUCAAUUUCGACCUGAACUCAGACGUGACUACCCGCUG